AGGAAUAUUGGUCAAUGGACGAGAGUCUGAACCAGCCAAGUAGCGUGAAGGAUGACUGCCCUAUGGGUUGUAAACUUCUUUUAUACGGGAAUAAAGUGAGGCACGUGUGCCUUUUUGUAUGUACCGUAUGAAUAAGGAUCGGCUAACUCCGUGCCAGCAGCCGCGGUAAUACGGAGGAUCCGAGCGUUAUCCGGAUUUAUUGGGUUUAAAGGGAGCGUAGGCGGACGCUUAAGUCAGUUGUGAAAGUUUGCGGCUCAACCGUAAAAUUGCAGUUGAUACUGGGUGUCUUGAGUACAGUAGAGGCAGGCGGAAUUCGUGGUGUAGCGGUGAAAUGCUUAGAUAUCACGAAGAACUCCGAUUGCGAAGGCAGCUUGCUGGACUGUAACUGACGCUGAUGCUCGAAAGUGUGGGUAUCAAACAGGAUUAGAUACCCUGGUAGUCCACACAGUAAACGAUGAAUACUCGCUGUUUGCGAUAUACAGUAAGCGGCCAAGCGAAAGCGUUAAGUAUUCCACCUGGGGAGUACGCCGGCAACGGUGAAACUCAAAGGAAUUGACGGGGGCCCGCACAAGCGGAGGAACAUGUGGUUUAAUUCGAUGAUACGCGAGGAACCUUACCCGGGCUUGAAUUGCAACUGAAUGAUGUGGAGACAUGUCAGCCGCAAGGCAGUUGUGAAGGUGCUGCAUGGUUGUCGUCAGCUCGUGCCGUGAGGUGUCGGCUUAAGUGCCAUAACGAGCGCAACCCUUGUUGUCAGUUACUAACAGGUUCCGCUGAGGACUCUGACAAGACUGCCAUCGUAAGAUGUGAGGAAGGUGGGGAUGACGUCAAAUCAGCACGGCCCUUACGUCCGGGGCUACACACGUGUUACAAUGGGGGGUACAGAGGGCCGCUACCACGCGAGUGGAUGCCAAUCCCCAAAACCUCUCUCAGUUCGGACUGGAGUCUGCAACCCGACUCCACGAAGCUGGAUUCGCUAGUAAUCGCGCAUCAGCCACGGCGCGGUGAAUACGUUCCCG
rnacentral:rRNA from 1 species